UGGAGGGGUUCCCGAGUGGCCAAAGGGAUCAGACUGUAAAUCUGACGGCUCAGCCUUCGUAGGUUCGAAUCCUACCCCCUCCACAUC
rnacentral:tRNA from 2 species